GGGGUGGUAGCUCAGCGGUAGAGCGCUUGCCUAGCAUGUGUGAGGCCCUGAGUUCUAUCCUCAGCACCACA
rnacentral:tRNA from 1 species